AUAUAUAUAUAUAUAUAUAUAUAUAUAUUUAUAUUUAUUUACGGAAGGUGGAAAGACAGUGGAAGAUUCAUAAGGGAUGAGAGAGAGGAUACUGGAAGACCGACACUGGUAGGUGAAAAUUGAAAGUGAGAGGGGCUGGUUGUUGGAGGGGAGAGAGGAAAGGAAGUUGAAAAAAUCUACUUGCACCCGGGGUUGGGGAACCCCCGCGUACCGUCCCUCCAGGUGAACAAUAACGAAGCGGUGUGUUUUAAAUUUGAACGUAUUUAUGCGACAACCAGAAAAUCUCCCCAUUUCCGCGAAACCCACGGACGAAACACAAUGACGACCAGGAAACCUCCCCAGAAUGACGACGACGACCGGCUCAGACGAAAGCUACCCAAAACGAGGACCAUCGACCUCGAGGGACGGCACUCUCUGAAGACAUUUAUUCUCCCAAGACAUUCUCCCAAGACUGGGCUUAAGAUCAUGAGGGUAAUUCUCCCCAGACACUUGUUCAAGGAAGCGUUGCCAUGCUUCAUGAGGGUCAUGAUUUGUUCUGUUUUUUUAAUGAACUCAGAGUAACUCAUUAUUGGUGUCUAAAGCUUGAUUAAUUUCUCAGACAGCAAAGUAACAUGAAACAGAACCAAAAUAUGGGUUCGACUGCUAAUGGAGAUCGCAUUAGGUCUUUGAUAAAACUUACGAUAUCCCAUGAACUGUCAAUGCUGCCCAAGCCUUCCAUCUUCAGAGUCCCGACCAAUCUCUACAGGCUUAAUCCAAAAGCUUACAUCCUAAAUGCAUUUUCCUUUGGCCUCUUCAUCAUGAAAAACCAAACUUGAAACCUGCAGAAAAAAUCAAAGCUCGGUAUUUGCGAGGCCUUAUCUCUAGGUCACCCUCUCCGGACACAAAGCUACGAGAACUCGUCAGAUCCAUCAAGGUUGUGGAGAGAGAAGCUCGUCAAUGUUACGCAGGGAAGAUCGAUUACACCCCAGAUGAAUUUAUUCAAAUUUUGGUAAUUGACGGUUGCUUCAUCAUUAAGCUGCUCCGCAAGAAUGCUUAUACUGAGCUUAGAGAGAAGAUAAUUUCUUACCAUGUCUUGCAUGCUCCAAUUCCUCAACCAUGACCUGAUAUUGCCUGAAAACCAAGUUCCUUGGAUGGUGCUUGAGCGUUUGUUUUGCAUGACCAUGGAACUUAGAGACCAAAAGUCCCUAAUGCAACUUGCCAAAGAAUUUUUUGCUAAUAUCUUCUCAUCCUUACAGCCUAGAAGUCGGCCUGCUGCGGAUCGAGCUAUAAUCCAAGACAGAGCAUAUUCUCGACCUGAUACACAGUGCUCAUAACCACAACGACGACCACCGGCCUUGAGCGGCGGCACUCUCUCUCUCAGAAAAAUUCUUUGACGGCACUCACCCACAACGGCACUCUCUAUUUUUCUGGUUGGGGUUUCAUUUGUCUAUUCGAUUUUCGGUUUUUGCCCUUUUUGUUUUUUCUUUUUCUUUUUAAAUAUAUCGGCUGUCAGCCGAUUCCCCAAAGGUAUCCAACCCGGUUACCUGUAGCAGAAUUGAAGAAAGUUGAGCAAACAUUCGCAGCCAGAGGCUUGGGCGUGGCAUUACACGUGGUAUGCACUUGUUCGCAUGUGGAUGUUUCACUUCACUCGUCCUCGAUCCGCGCUGUCUGUACCCUUUCGGUCCACGACACCGAAUCACCCAAUCACACGGUGUCUCCUUUUUUUCAAAUUAAUUAAUUAAAAAUUUUCGAUCAGUCA